CCUACGGGAGUCAGCAGUGAGGAAUAUUGGUCAAUGGCCGGAAGGCUGAACCAGCCAUGCCGCGUGAAGGUCAGUGCCCUAUGGGCGUUAAACUUCUUUUGUGCGGGAGCAAUAAUGGUCACGUGUGGCCAGACGAGAGUACCGUACGAAUAAGCAUCGGCUAACUCCGUGCCAGCAGCCGCGGUAAUACGGGGGAUGCAAGCGUUAUCCGGAUUUAUUGGGUUUAAAGGGUGCGUAGGCUGUGAGGUAAGUCAGCGGUGAAAUGCCCCCGCUCAACGGGGUGAAGUGCCAUUGAUACUGCCUUGCUGGAAUGCGGAUGCCGUGGGAGGAAGGUGUGGUGGAGCGGUGAAAGGCAUAGAUAUCACACAGAACACCGAGUGCGAAGGCAUCUCACGAAUCCGCGAUUGACGCUGAUGCACGAAAGCGUGGGUAUCAAACAGGAUUAGAUACCCCUGUAGUC
rnacentral:rRNA from 1 species